AGCAUAACAUCCAGAUUCUGGAUGUUGAACAUGGCUUUAGAGGCGAAUUGUGUCAGGCCCUCUUUCAAUAUCGAGGGCCUGAUACUCAGGUUAGACUUGGACUAAGUCUAAAUGACUUGUGACCUGAUGUGGACUUGCAAAAUAUUACGGAAAUCACAGAACUGUGGAAUCCAUAAAAAAUUCGUAUCGCCGCCACUCCCACGAACGUCUACGACAGCAUGUGCAUAUUUUUGCAUGUUUAAUACAAUUCUAAUUUUAAACAGCCAAUUACGAUUAAACGUCGAUUGGCUGUUUAAAAUUAGAAUUGUGAACGUGGCAAAAAUAUUCGUAGACGUUUGUGGGAGUGGUGGCGAUACGAAUUUUUUAUGCGUUUCCACAGUUCGGUGAGUUUCGUAAUAAGACUUGUUAACAACUAAAAUUACAAUCAUUUCAAGGGCUGCAUUUGAAAUAUUGCUUGUGAGUAAACGAUUACUUUUUUAGAUCUUGUGGAAAACUUUGAUGAACCAUCCAAGAAUGAAACAGUGUAAAAGCAGCAAUACAACAUCAGCAAUGUCGAAGUAUGAAUCAUUCCCUAGGAAACGACUCGCAUGCAACAGAACAUUGACAAAUAGAAAAGGCGCAACUAUACGGCAAUUAGAACAAUAUAAGCUACGCAUCAUUAUUUUAUAUUUCGUUUUAUUUUCAUUACCAGUUUGGAGAGUACUGCUAAAAUUGUAGUUCGAAUAAUAAAACAUGUAAACAUGAAUUACAACUUGUUUUAGGAAUAAAGUUUUUGACCGUGAUUCUUGCAGUAUGCGUUUUGCUUUUUUCGAGUGAUGUACGUUUUCGCCAAUUUCACAAGCAAUUUUCGCCAAUUUCACAAGCAGUAUGCUGUACUGUAAACUUCUUGAACUGUCUUAGCCAGUGUAGGUAGUGCCAAUAAAGUCAUGAACACAUACCUAAUUUUAAGAAUUUUUUAUCACUGCAUAUUUUAUGCCAAAAAUUUCCGAAUGACUAAGAAAAUUUCCGAAUAUUCGGAAAUUUUUGGCGACCCCCCCCCCGUCGCCAAAAAAUUUGGUCAGUGUACCAUUUUAAGGGUCAAAAAUUUUUUCCGGACAUACCAAAAGACAGAUAUUAACUAAAAAUUGCCUGAAUCUCAUGAUUUUCGUACAAAAAACAUAUACUAUUAUUUAAUUCGAUAAUUUGGCAGUCAUCAUUUCAAUUUCAAUUAAAU